ensembl:lncRNA
AACGCUACCAAACAAGAUUAUUUGAGUAGGUUUUACACGAAAAUACCAUUUCAGUCUUACUACUUCAAAAUGUUCAGUUCAGUAUAUUAGUUGCCUUUUCUUUGUAAUUAUUUGUAGAAUUUAAUAGCAAUUUCUGAAUGAAAAGCUGUGUUUUCAGCACCAUGGACAGCGGUUAUUGCUGUCAAGUCUACAUCUUCCUUUCAGACCUGAAUGCAUUUAAAUUAAUUUAAGCAGUCUAGCAUUGGGCUACCAGUAAAAGUCACUAAUAUCAAGUAAUAUAUGGAGAAUAAAACAAUAAUAAUAAAAAAAAGCUUUUAGGAAAUGGAACAACUUUCAAGGGGUUCAAGCCAGCAUCUACGUCACUGACCCAGCAGCGAAGCUCACGGGAAUCAAUGUUCCCGAGAACAUUCUGCUUGGGCAAACCACUGCCCUUCUACUAAAAUAACCCGGUUAUGCAUCAGAUUCAUGGCCAUAAUCAUUAAUCAUAUUAAAGCAAUAUCUUAUCUAGAUUCAUUUUAUGUGAUUAUUAAAAUUUAUUUGAGUUCUGCUGUGUUUUUUGUAACACUUCUCUUUAAUUGCAGUAGCUGUUCUGUCUCUCCAUGUGAACUGACUUCACCUCGGUCUUGCCCAGCUUGGCUAUUAUACAAUUUCCUGUGGAACAAGGAGAGGCAGUUUCAAUUAGGAUCGGGUGACAGAAUAUUGUUUAAUGUACUGUAUAAUUGAUGAAAGUCAUACAUUUUCUUUUUACCGGUUGCAGUGCCAUCUGGGACAGCUGGGCAGGUGUUUUAGUGAAUUCAGUGAGUAAUUAAUACAUAUCAAACUGGCAGAGAUGUCUUGUCUAAAUGUAUGUUAAUCUGCAACAAUUUUUAGUAGUGUGCAAUAGAACAUGGCCCAAAUGCUAAAAAAUAUCCAAUUUUAGCAGUCACACAUCGCCCUCUUGAGGAGAGAGUUUAUAGUUGCGGAAAACAAUCUGUGGGCCAGUGUUGUGCUUGGUACCAUUAAAUGUAAUAGAAAGAAAUUAUAUUCAGAAAUGUUUCUAUGAAAAUUUAAGUAAAUAAAAUCUCAACAUCCAAAGACAAUGUCCCCUGUAUUGGUUUUAAUAUUUUAAAAUUAUGCCAGUUUUGAUUAAUUAAACAUUUGUAGCCAGGGUUAUCUACAUUUUAAAGCAUUUUUGGGGUCCAAGUUAAAAAAAAAAGAAAGAAAAAAAAGAUAGCAUCUAAUCCCUGUUGAUCAUUAAAAUUUUUUUUUUUCAUUUAGAAGGCAACAAUUGAUUUUAAAAAUAUUUUCUCUGUUCUUCUGCAUUUUUA